UAGGGAAUCUUCCGCAAUGGGCGAAAGCCUGACGGAGCAACGCCGCGUGAGUGAUGAAGGUCUUCGGAUCGUAAAACUCUGUUAUUAGGGACGAACAAAUGUGUAAGUAACUACGCACGUCUUGACGGUACCUAAUCAGAAAGCCACGGCUAACUACGUGCCAGCAGCCGCGGUAAUACGUAGGUGGCAAGCGUUAUCCGGAAUUAUUGGGCGUAAAGCGCGCGUAGGCGGUUUUUUAAGUCUGAUGUGAAAGCCCACGGCUCAACCGUGUAGAGUCAUUGGAAACUUGAAAACUUGAUUGCAGAAGAGGAAAGUGAAAUUCCAUGUGUAGCGGUGAAAUGCGCAGAGAUAUAGAAGAACACCAGUGGCGAAGGCGACUUUCUGGUCUGUAACUGACGCUGAUGUGCGAAAGCGUAGGGAUCAAACAGG
rnacentral:rRNA from 1 species